AUAGUGCGUUAACAAUUUGUGGUGCACAUUGCAAAGUUUCCACAAGAAUGACUUACAGUAUUACAAAUAUAUUAGGAACCAUGUUAUAUAUCUUGCCUUCAUUUAUUUUCAUUUAUUUUCAACUUUAAUAUUUAUCAUAUAUUUAUUAAUACAGAUAUAAAUAAACUCUGUUUUGAAUGUGGUAUAUUUUUAUCACUUGCAAAACAUUUUGCUGAUAAUCUUGAAUUUCUCUUAGACUAGUGAAAAGUCUAUUGUUUUAUUUGUUUAUUAUUGAUAUUUUGUUCUGACUUAAACACAAACAAAAAAUAAACUGAUUCAACUUGAGUUGAUAGUGAUUUAAGGACUGUAUGAUUAUAUUUUACUGUAUUGUUAAUGUCAUAGAUUUUUUAAAAUGAUAUUUGAUUCUUUUGAAGUCUCAAUUUAGAUUUUUAACAAAUAUACGAAUGUACUUUAUGCAUUUGAUCUCACUUUAUUUUAUACACGCAAAACACAAACCACAUUUCUUACUCUCAUACAUGUAUUUAAAUUAUGUUUUGAUAUUCUUAUCAUAUUAUGAAUUUGUAUCUUUAUGAUGUCUAUUUAUUAUAAUAAUAUGAUUUUGUUUAAAGAGUAUGCAUCAGAAUUUGAAUCAUACCAAAACAUUGCACCGGAAUGGUAUUUUUAUUAUACACAAACACACCUUAUGGUUCGUUUUACAACAGCAUUGUCUACAGUCAUGUUUAUUAGAUAUUGUAUUGAGAACCGGUUCAGCGCCACCUAGUUUAGAGAGCCAGUUGAUUUGUUCUAUGACUGUUUGGGUCCUGGUCAAUUUGAACCGUUUUACACGAUGGUGACAGUUAUCUAGAUUAUGUGUAUUAUGAAAACUUUGCGCAUUAUCUGUUAUCAGUUCUUUGAUUGACAGAAUGAAGUGUACUUUUAAGAAGUUGUUUAUCAGAUAGACUAAGUACACUUGUUCACAGAGAUAACGUGACAUGAUUUAUGCCGGGUUUAGUUGCUACAGUAAAUGCAUGUACAUGUAAAUUGUUAUCUUUGGCACUGGAACUGUCUGUCAAGUCAUGAAACAUUCCUUAAAGAUUGAUGAUGUUAUGUUUAUAUAUUUACACGUAUUAAUUGUUACAAUACAAACAUAUCACUAACAAAGGCACGUUGGUUUAUUGUAAUAAAUUGGCAACAGAUCUGUU
rnacentral:sRNA from 1 species